rnacentral:rRNA from 1 species
CAGUAGCCACGGUAAAACGUAGGUGGCAAGCGUUGUCCGGAAUUAUUGGGCGUAAAGGGCUCGCAGGCGGUUUCUUAAGUCUGAUGUGAAAGCCCCCGGCUCAACCGGGGAGGGUCAUUGGAAACUGGGAAACUUGAGUGCAGAAGAGGAGAGUGGAAUUCCACGUGUAGCGGUGAAAUGCGUAGAGAUGUGGAGGAACACCAGUGGCGAAGGCGACUCUCUGGUCUGUAACUGACGCUGAGGAGCGAAAGCGUGGGGAGCGAACAGGAUUAGAUACCCCUGUAGUCCCUGUCUAUUAUAC